rnacentral:rRNA from 1 species
GACGAACGCUGGCGGCGUGCUUAACACAUGCAAGUCGAACGGAAAGGCCCUGCUUGCAGGGUACUCGAGUGGCGAACGGGUGAGUAACACGUGGGUGAUCUGCCCUGCACUUCGGGAUAAGCCUGGGAAACUGGGUCUAAUACCGGAUAGGAGCCAUUUUUAGUGGGAUGGUUGGAAAGUUUUUUCGGUGUAGGAUGAGCUCGCGGCCUAUCAGCUUGUUGGUGGGGUAAUGGCCUACCAAGGCGGCGACGGGUAGCCGGCCUGCGAGGGUGGACGGCCACAUUGGGACUGAGAUACGGCCCAGACUCCUACGGGAGGCAGCAGUGGGGAAUAUUGCACAAUGGGCGCAAGCCUGAUGCAGCGACGCCGCGUGGGGGAUGACGGCCUUCGGGUUGUAAACUCCGUUCGCUAGGGACGAAGCUUUUUGUGACGGUACCUAGAUAAGAAGCACCGGCUAACUACGUG